rnacentral:misc_RNA from 1 species
GGCCUGACUGAUAGUGCUCACUUGAAGGUAAAUUGCUGAUGCAAGUUUCCUGAAGUCAUCAGUUGCUGUCCUCUGAAGUGUUGAUACCCCAAAUACACGCGGGAAGAAAUCUGUCUCAUAUGCUGCCCAAAAGAAAAUGACUGUCAUCAUUGCCAAGUAGCCACCAAGAACAACCCCAGUAGUGAAAAUCUCAGCCAGCUUCCAACUAUCAGGCAGAGGAGAUGGUUU